rnacentral:rRNA from 1 species
UACGGGGGGGGCAAGCGUUGUUCGGAAUUACUGGGCGUAAAGGGCUCGUAGGUGGCCAACUAAGUCAGACGUGAAAUCCCUCGGCUUAACCGGGGAACUGCAUCUGAUACUGGAUUGGCUUGAGUUCGGGAGAGGGAUGCGGAAUUCCAGGUGUAGCGGUGAAAUGCGUAGAUAUCAGGAGGAACACCGAUGGCGAAGGCAGGUCUCUGGGCUGACACUGACUCA